ACCACCUAUUUUCGUUUGUACGAUGGGGGGACGCAGGAGGGUAGGGAAUCGCGCGACUGGAAGUGCGCGUCCAAGCAGUGAGGCCGAAAGGAUAGGCAAAUCCGUCCUUUCUAUAGGCUAGGCUGUGAUGGCGAGGGAAAUGUUCAGUACCGAAGUUCCUGAUCUCACACUGCCAAGAAAAGCCUCUAGGAGAAAAUAGGUGCCCGUACCGCAAACCGACACAGGUAGGCGAGGAGAGAAUCCUAAGGUGCUCGGGAAAACUCUCGUUAAGGAACUCGGCAAAAUGACCCCGUAACUUCGGGAGAAGGGGUGCCCCGGUAGGGUGAAAGCCCGAGGGGGCCGCAGUGAAGAGGUCCAGGCGACUGUUUAGCAAAAACACAGGUCUCUGCUAAGCCGCAAGGCGAUGUAUAGGGGCUGACGCCUGCCCGGUGCUGGAAGGUUAAGGGGAAGGGUUAGCGCAAGCGAAGCUCUGAACCGAAGCCCCAGUAAACGGCGGCCGUAACUAUAACGGUCCUAAGGUAGCGAAAUUCCUUGUCGGGUAAGUUCCGACCCGCACGAAAGGCGUAACGAUCUGGACGCUGUCUCAACGAGAGACCCGGUGAAAUUGUACUGCCAGUGAAGAUGCUGGCUACCCGCGACAAGACGGAAAGACCCCGUGGAGCUUUACUGUAGCCUGAUAUUGAAUCUAGGUACGACUUGUACAGGAUAGGUGGGAGUCU
rnacentral:rRNA from 1 species